AGUGAACGCUGGCGGUAGGCCUAACACAUGCAAGUCGAACGGCAGCACAGUAAGAGCUUGCUCUUACGGGUGGCGAGUGGCGGACGGGUAAGGAAUACAUCGGAAUCUACUUUUUCGUGGGUGAUAACGUAAGGAAACUUACGCUAAUACCGCAUACGACCUACGGGUGAAAGCAGGGGAUCUUCGGACCUUGCGCGAUUGUAUGAGCCGAUGUCGGAUUAGCUAGUUGGCGGGGUAAAGGCCCACCAAGGCGACGAUCCGUAGCUGGUCUGAGAGGAUGAUCAGCCACACUGGAACUGAGACACGGUCCAGACUCCUACGGGAGGCAGCAGUGGGGAAUCUUGGACAAUGGGCGAAAGCCUGACCCAGCCACACCGCGUGAGUGAAGAAGGUCUUCGGGUUGUAAAGCCCUUUUGUUGGGAAAGAAAAGCAGCAGGUGAAAACCCCGCUGUUCUGACGGUACCCAAAGAAUAAGCACCGGCUAACUUCGUG
rnacentral:rRNA from 1 species